rnacentral:rRNA from 1 species
UGGGGAAUAUUGGACAAUGGGCGCAAGCCUGAUCCAGCCAUGCCGCGUGAGUGAAGAAGGCCUUAGGGUUGUAAAACUCUUUCGCCGGGGAAGAUAAUGACGGUACCCGGAGAAGAAGCUCCGGCUAACUUCGUGCCAGCAGCCGCGGUAAUACGAAGGGAGCUAGCGUUGUUCGGAAUUACUGGGCGUAAAGCGCACGUAGGCGGACUUGUCAGUCAGGGGUGAAAUCCCAAGGCUCAACCUUGGAACUGCCUCCGAUACAGCAAGCCUAGAGAUCGGGAGAGGUGAGUGGAAUUCCUAGUGUAGAGGUGAAAUUCGUAGAUAUUAGGAAGAACACCAGUGGCGAAGGCGGCUCACUGGCCCGAUACUGACGCUGAGGUGCGAAAGCGUGGGGAGCAAACAGGAUUAGAUACCCCGGUAGUCCCUGAGCGGGCUGGCAAGGCGCAU